rnacentral:lncRNA from 1 species
GAAAGUAGAGAUUAAAAUCUCUCUCUUAUCCAAUCAACAGAUUCUCUUAUGGUAUAUAGAGGUGCUGCUUACUGCAAAAAGAGAAAAAACUUAAUUUUCUAUAAAAUCAUGAUCCAAAAACCUUAGGAUCUUUUGUUUUGAUGCAUGUUUAAGUUGUUUAGAUUUGAAAAAAUUAUUUCUUAUCUAAACUAGAACUUUAAUGAUGCAUAAAUAUUUUUAAAAUAUUAUUAUCUGUGGUUG